UAAGGAAUAUUGAACAAUGGACGCAAGUCUGAUCCAGCCAUGCCGCGUGAAGGAUGAAUGCCCUCUGGGUUGUAAACUUCUUUUAUAGGGGAAGAAAGAUACUUUUUUUAAGGUAGUUGACGGUACCCUAUGAAUAAGCACCGGCUAACUCCGUGCCAGCAGCCGCGGUAAUACGGAGGGUGCAAGCGUUAUCCGGAUUUACUGGGUUUAAAGGGUGCGUAGGCGGGCAUGUAAGUCAGUGGUGAAAUCUCCGAGCUUAACUUGGAAACUGCCAUUGAUACUAUUAGUCUUGAAUUUUGUUGAGGUAGGCGGAAUAAGUCAUGUAGCGGUGAAAUGCAUAGAUAUGACUUAGAACACCAAUUGCGAAGGCAGCUUGCUAAACAAACAUUGACGCUGAGGCACGAAAGCGUGGGGAUCAAACA
rnacentral:rRNA from 1 species